GAUCCACUCCAGAGUUCAAGUACAUUCGCGUCCCAAUGUCGAGUUUGUACUCGUCGAAAACGGGCUGAGAAUGUUCGUGCAACAGUCAAAUUAAGCUCCACUCGAAUGCUCAUUUUUCAAGGACAUUUCAACGAGCCUACGCGACGAAAAUAUUUUAAGGACGAGGACGGUAGUUGGAUGGGUGACGCUCAGCCACGCAGUUUUUCGUCUCGGAGGUGCUGAUAAAUUGCAAUUGAAGUGCUGAACAACGAAGCGAAGGAAAACUGAGCUGAAGUGUGAUGGGGCGCGCUCGUAAAAACCCAAAAAGCUGCACGCGGAAGCAAUAAAAACACUAUGAGAAAUGGAAGAAUCUCAAACGUCGGAGGAUCUUACGUCACCCGGACGUUUUUCCCCAGGAGAUUGUAUUUCGAGGUGCUUCGCUUCAGGAACCUUUGGAGGGCAAAAGAAGCCUCGGGACUUUUACAAUCGACAUCAAAUUCAAGCGUUUCGAGCCAUUUUCCGCCGGCACAAAAAACCUGUUUUUACGAAGUUUUUCGAAAAAAUACUCAAACUGCAUAAUUUCAGAACUAAAAUUCCUGUCGACCUAACGUAAUGAAAUUCAAUUUCAAAUAUUUUACAGAUUCAAACCUUAAGAGAUUGCAAAACGACGGCAAAUUUAGAGCGGGUGUCCCAUCGGCUGCGGGGCAAAUGCAUGACGUCACCGAGUUUCAACGCGACUUCGUCCUGAGCUCCUUCGUAAAGCAGAACGAGUGCUAAUUUAACGGAGAGCGGUGAAAUCAAAAGGGCGCGACAACUUUGGGGUCUUUGACGGAGGGCGGAUCUGUGGCAUCGUUCAUUGGUGCUGUUUGACACACAACGAAACCAAAUGCCAUCAUCAGGAGCUGCCAUUCUGUGGGAAGAAAAAUCACUAUGAUAAGAGGGAAAAAAAUUGCGUUUCCAUUGCCACACAGCAGACAAAAGCUAGCAACGGAAAGUCUGACGAGGCUCGACGAAGAAAAAUAAUAGCAAUUUUCAAAAAGCAUUAAUCAUCGAGCGGAAGAAUAUUGCGAUUGAAAAAUAUUUAAAAUCUAUUCGUUCGCAGGUGGGCUGAAAAGAGGAAAAUAAUUUUGUUUCCUGCAGCACCGAAUCGGCCGAUUAUCCGCUUAAAUUCGGAAUUUUGAGGCGUCGGAGCAUCGAAAGUUUGGAGUCUCAAUCCCGCCCCCACGAAAUGCCAGAGUGACUUGGACUGCAGCAAGAAAGGGGAGGUGGAUUUUCGUGUUCGCAGCUUCAAAUCGAGGAGAAAAUGUUGAAAAAAAACUUGCCGAAUAAGCGUGUUUUCCUCAUGGCUCUCAGGAUUCGUGUAGCGCGAAAAAAAAACUCGGAGAAAAAUGUAUCUUCGGACGAGAAUGAUGAAUAGAAAGAAAAAACGAAAAACAACAAAUCGUGAGAAAAUUCCCGGUUGUUCGAUCGAUUCGAAUGUUAAACAGUAAACGACCGGUUUAAUGUCGAACAGUUAAAAUCACUGUAAUAGAACGAGAUGCUCAGCGAGAGGCGUCAUGUUCGCCAACACGAGACACAAUGUUGAAUCUCUAAACCGGCCUGCUCAGUUUAUACAUGAACGCGCCCGUCUGCGUUCGCUUCUACGCUCGACCAUCGUUGUGUUUUCACGCAGAAUACACUCGCCGAGAAAUUCUUGAACGGAGAAGGAGAAGUUUUAACGAAGAGAAAAAACAGAAGAAAAAAAAUUAGAAAAAGAUAAACAACACCGUUGGAGGAGGGAGAAGAACGAUUCGGUUAGAGAAUCGGCUUCGUAUUUUACGCUCGAUGACAUGUGAAGUAAAUAUUCUAUCGUACCCAGGGAAAAACCCAAGGAAGUCGUCGGGGUAAUAGCCCGAACAAACUCACGAAAUGAUGCUGGACAAAAUUGUAGUAUCUCCAGAUAUGCUCCAAUUCCUCUGACAUUAAAAGACGUCAUUACUAACACGA